AAUGAAAACCUCCGUUUACUGCAGGAAAUCGUAGCCGAAGGGGGACAUACAUCACCAGUUUUGGGCGAAGGACUGGAUGAAGCUAUAUUCCAUGGUGAAAGCAAAGCGUUCGGAAGUUGAUCUUUUCGAGUUGCCGAAUGAAACGAGAAAAUUUCCUUUCAUGCCUUGUGACAGACGACAGCAAGUUUCAGCGCCAACAAAUAUCCAGCAAACGAC